AAAUGAAUAGACGGGGGCCCGCACAAGCAGUGGAGUAUGUGGUUUAAUUCGAAGCAACGCGAAGAACCUUACCAGGGCUUGACAUCCUGCGACGGUGUUAGAAAUAGCACUUUCCUACGGGACGCAGAGACAGGUGGUGCAUGGUUGUCGUCAGCUCGUGUCGUGAGAUGUUGGGUUAAGUCCCGCAACGAGCGCAACCCUUGUUGUUAGUUGCUAACAGGAUAAGCUGAGCACUCUAACGAGACUGCCGGUGAGAAAUCGGAGGAAGGUGGGGAUGACGUCAAAUCAUCAUGCCCCUUAUGUUCUGGGCUACACACGUACUACAAUGGUUGCCACAGAGGGGAGCGAAGCCGCGAGGCGGAGCGAAUCCCGAAAAGCAGCCCCAGUUCGGAUUGCAGGCUGAAACUCGCCUGCAUGAAGUCGGAAUUGCUAGUAAUGGCAGGUCAGCAUACUGCCGUGAAUACGUUCCCGGGCCUUGUACACACCGCCCGU
rnacentral:rRNA from 1 species